UUACGGCCAUGUCAUAUUGAAACGCUUGUCCCCGUACGAUCACCGAAGUUAAGCAACGUUGAACCUAGUCAGACACUAGAUGCAUGACCGCUUGGGAAUACCUGGUGCUGUAAG